rnacentral:rRNA from 1 species
AUUGAACGCUGGCGGCAGGCCUAACACAUGCAAGUCGAGCGAGCGGCGGACGCGUGAGUAAUGUAUGGGGACUGCCCGUUAGAGGGGGAUAAAUACUGGAAACGGUAUCUAAUACCCCGUACUAUCGGAUAACCCAUAUGGGAUUAGCUAGUAGGUGAGGUAAUGGCCCACCUAGGCGACGAUCCCUAGCUGGUCUGAGAGGAUGAUCAGCCACACUGUGACUGAGAAACGGCCCAGACUCCUACGGAGGCAGCAGUGGGGAAUAUUGCACAAUGGGCGCAAGCCUGAUGCAGCUAUGCCGCGUGUAUGAAGAAGGCCCUAGGGUUGUAAAGUACUUUCAGUCGGGAGGCGUUACCGACAGAAGAAGCACCGGCUAACUCCGUGCCAGCAGCCGCGGUAAUAC